UCCCUUUUAUAAUAAUAUCCGCGUAGAUUGAAGGACAACUUAAUUAGCCGAGAUCGUUAGAACCCCCGUGAAAGACCACGACGAUGCUCCCCACCGGACUAGAAUUCGCCGAUUAUGUGGAGAAUAACCUUCGUUCCUAUUAUAGAUUCAUUUUCAGGUUAGAAAUAAGCGUUACGAUCAGUCUCGUGCGGGAUUCACGUGCUCACAUUAUUUCUUUUAUCGAAAAUGACAGUAAAAAUAAAGAGAGAUAAGUAUUCUAAUAUAAUUCUAAUGAUUAGUGCUUUUAAUAAAAUUUUUUGUUGGAAUAUAAGAAAGCGAAAUAGAGAAUUCGAAAAUAUCGAAUUGACUCGAGAAUUUCGACUUUCUCGUAAAGAUUAGGAUUAUUUUUUUAAUUUUUUAUACAAAAUUAUUCAGUUCUUUAAAAUUCUGAAAAAUUCUGAUUUUAUUUUAAUCAUCUCGAAAAACGAUGUUUUCGAACUAUGAGAUACUUUCGAGAUCCGACUCGAUACGAUUCGACCCGAUCUUUUCCGAUCUGUUCCGAUCUAUUCCGAGCGUUCCCGAUAUUUUCGGGUUCUCGCACAUCUCUAAAGCGAAACAACAAUUAAUCUAUCCAGAGGAUAAAAUAAUAAUAUAAUAAUAAAACAAGAAUAUCUCUCGGGCAUUGUAAACUUAGUUUAAUAUAAACUUAACGUAACGAACAUAACCUUAACCUAACUCAAAUCCAAAUGUCUAACCUUUGAAAAAUAACAGAGAAGUAAAAUUGAAUUUACAUCUAACUAAAAAAUAAUUGAAUAUGUGUUUACAUGUUAUAUGUUAGAAUUGUGUUUACAGUGUUACAAAAUAGAAUUUUCUGUGCAACGAAGAAACACUUGUGCAACGAGCAGGUUGAAUUAAUUUUUUAAUUUCAACGAGACUUUCAGACGAGCACAUGGCAACAUUUCACGAAUUGAAUUCGGACGAGGCGUGUAUUUCCAUAUGCAACUGUAUGGCCUUUGAAUACGAUCGAACUGGACGAUAAACUGGCGAGAAAUUAGCUGGUAUAAAUCACACGCGGAAUACUAUAAUGACAAAAUCUAAUGUACAGGCGCCGUUGGGAGAUCGGAGUUCAACUAAUUUUCAGAAACUCUAAGGAUACAAUCGUCCAAAAUUAGAUGCAAUCCCCGGGAGAACGGACGAAAAUCCACCAAGUAACCAAAUAUCCUGAAUCGAAAUGGUUCUCUUUGACAUACAUAUGUAAUAUGUAACGUAAUAUCAUAUACAAGAGAUAGAUAGAGAAGAGAACUAGAAGUUGAGAACUAAUAAUUUUAAUAUCAAAGAAUAAACCGUGUAAGAAAGAAAAAAAAUCAAAAUUUUUGACUAAUUGUGGAAUACUACAAGCUCGAAUAAAAGUUUAAUAUGCUGCGCGGAUACAAUAACGAGUAUCUGGUUAUGGAUAUUAUACAUUCUUAAUUUAUUUAACUUAUUCUCUCGACGAACGAGAUAUUCUUUUUUUCUUCAUUUGCAGAAACUUCAUUUCAAUUACACUGGAAGCUGUGUUCAGGAAGUUUAAUAUGCAAUUAUCGUUCUGGAAUAAAUGAAAGAGCAGUGUCAAUCGAGGAAAACACGAAGGUUAAAAACAAUUGACUAACGACAUAAAGGAAUACGUAAUAAGAGCAUACGAGUCAAAGGUAAAUGUUCGCGUUAAUAGGCAAUUACCAAGCAGUUUCCGCGUGGAACACGUUCCUCUCGAUGAAAGCCUUACGCUUGCCGACCGUAUAAUCGAAAAUUAGGGUGCAGUUAGCAAGUGCUUAAGCAACAACUGUUUAUUGAUAUAGUUAAUGAAUUUCCGCGCAAACUUGUUGUGUCUCGAUAAAUAUCAUUGCACGACUCGUCGAAAAUAAAUUUUGCUCGAACGUAGGAGUCGGUUCUUGAAAUACAAAAUGGAAAAAUAUUAUUGAAAUAAUUAUUUCUCCACUUGUUCGUUCAUAGACCACUUGUGUAAUAAAAUAUAACGAUCAAUUGAUGUAUGUAUCAUUUUGAAAAAUUCUAAAUUUAAAUUAUUAUUUUAAAAGCUAUGUAAUUAAACCUCGUUAUUAAAAUUAAGU